AGACAGUGCUCCACAAGCUACCUGCUGCACUCUAUGCCAGCUCUCUGUUAAGUCUGACACAAAGGACCUGGGGAUCCUGAGGCUCUUCAUCGCGCUGAGUGGAGCCCCACAGCUGCUCUGUAGUGACCGCUGCCUCUUACUUCAGCUGCACGUGAUGCUCAAACCUAUCGUAUUUUCAGGCUAUGGCUGAAGUGUCCAUUUCAGAUAAUAGUCUGUCACAAAUUAUUAGACACGAGCAGUAAAAUGCUACAUGAAAAACAGGGUGGUAGAGAUGAAAUAGAUCACCACAGGAACAGAAAGUGAAAGAGGAUGACUGCUUCCCUGCCAGAUCCAGUACAGCUGGACAGUACUAAGAACUGUUAGCCACAGACACAUAAUUUGCAAAGUCUGAGGAGAAGUUACUUGGCCACUUUCUUUAACAGCUUUCUGUCAUUUGUAAUAGGAAGAUAAAGGCCAGAGCCAGACCAGAUAAGUGAAAUGUGUGGAAACACGUUUGCUGCUGAUUCUCACCUUCCAUACAGCUAUGUAGUAAUCUGUAAAAUUUUAAGUUUCUUUUCAGUGGUGCCCAGUGACAGAACAUGGGUGCGAUGGGCACAAAUCGGAACAUAGGAAGUUCCAUCUUGAACAUGAACAUGAGGGAAAACUUCUUUUCUUUGAGCGUGACUGCAACAGUCUAUCAGAGAAGUUGUGGAGCCUCCUUUUCUGGAAAAAUUCAAGACCUCUCUGGAUGUUUUCCUGUGUAACCUACUAUAGGGAACAUGCUUUAGCAGGGUGUUGGACUAGAUAUCUCCAGAGGUCCCUUUCAACUCCUACAAUUCUCUGAUUCUCUGAAGAGAAGUAUUGGCAAACUGGUCUAAGUCCAGCAGACAGUCCCCAAGCUGGCCAAGGUUGGAGCAUACUAUGGACAAGAAGGAACUAGGAUUGCUGUCUGUUCAGGCUGGAAAAUAGAAGGCUGAGGAAGGAUGUUAUUGAUGUCCACAACUUCCUAGUGUGUGUUUCUGGAAUAGGUGAGACCAAACUCUUCUUGAGAUGUGCACAACAAUCACCACCUACGACAAGUGAGAUACCAAUUAGAUAUUAAGAAAUCUUGUUCUUGAUGGGCGUGAUCAAACAUUGGAAUAGGUUGCCCAGGGAGGCUGUGAAAUCACCAUACUUCAGCUGAUUCAACACUGGAGUGGACAAGACCCUGAUCAAACUAAUCCAGAUUGGCACUUUGCUCUGAGCAGAGCUGGGAAAAGAUACUCUUCUGAGUCCCUUUCCUACCUGAAUUGUUCUGGAGUUCUGUAUUUCAGAACUGAGCAGUAGAGCCACUCUUCAAACACAAUCAUCAUUUGUGCAAAUCUGAAGCAGACCGUUUCGUCUGAUGGGCAAUGUCCUUAUAUAUGUGCUCUGUGGAUAGCAAGGAAAAUGUUUAUGCAAAGCUUCAAAAAAAAAUUUGAGUUAAGAUAGCUGCCAGUGCAAGACUGUAUCUUUUUGAGUUGUGUAUUAACUUCAAAAUGUGUACCUAAAUAAGCAAUAAAUGAACAACCAG
ensembl:lncRNA